rnacentral:lncRNA from 1 species
UUCAUCAUGAAUUGUCAUACAAUAUGUUAUGUCUAAUUGUAAAACAAUUUAAAUUCAAGUAAAAAAAAACACACAUUUGGUUUAUGUCAAACAGAAUAUUACAAAAAAUAUGCUUCUUGCAGUUAUACAUAAUAAAUUUUGAAGUUAAAAAUAUUCUGUGAAAAAGUAUAUUUGCUUUCAUGCCUUUUUAUUUUGGUUUUAAAACAAUUAGUGAUUCCAGAAGUGAAGUAAUUUCUUGAACAGGAGACAAAAUUGUUUAAACUGACUUUUAAAUAGGUUUAAUUUUUUAAAAGCAUGUAGUUGAAAUUUAAUGGCAGUUUAUGAUAAUUUUAAAUUUAUUUGUAAUUUGUUGGUAGCUUUUGUAUGGUAAAAAUAAGCUUCUUUACCAAUACCACAGAGACAAGUUAAAAUAGUUCUAGUCAUGAUUUAAAAGUUAAAUGUAACAAUAUUUCUGUUUUAAUGUAUGAAUAAUAGAAUGACCCUUAUUUUUAUUUGCUUAAAUUUUUGCCAGGUUGAGUUAUGUUUCAAUCAAACAUUUAUAACAUAUUUUAUGUAAAUACCACUAAUUUCAUAUUAAAUAUUUUUUCAAUAAGCACUGAAACAUUCUCAAACUUUUACUCAAUCCUCUCACAACCUUACUUUAGCAUGCUUAGUACAAAUACAUAUAUAACAUUGAAACUAUGUCCUUUGAGGGGAAGUGAUGUUCUUUGAUAUACAAGAGACAAACUUUCCACAGAGACAUAUUAGGCACUGUCGAAUUUUCAGAUAUAAAUCAAAUCGUAUGUAUUUAUGGUAUGUACAUACAUGUAUAUCUUUUCCUUCAUAUUAUAAGGUAUUGACAGAGUGUAAUUGUAUGUGAAGAAAAACUAGAUGUCCAUUUUUCCAAACUUGUACU